GGAGAGACAAUCCGCAGCCCCCUGGGUCUGUGCAGUUACCGGCCAACAGUCUGAAAACUUUCCCGGACAACAACGCGGAAAAUGACACUUUGGCUCCAUUUGGUUUUCUUUGUAGCGGCUCUGGAAGGGGCCCGCUCGCAGGUGGUUCUGACCCAGUCGGGGCCAGCGCUGAAGAAGCCCAGAGAGUCCCAUACACUGCAAUGUGCCACCAGCGGGUUCACUCUGAGCAGCACCUGGAUGAGCUGGGUCAGACAGGAGCCGGGAAAGGGGCUGGAGUGGCUGGUCAGCUAUUACGAUGAGUCGAGCACCAAGUACUACGCCUCCUCCGUCCAGGGCCGAUUCACAGCCUCCAAGGACAGCACCAACUUCUACCUGCAAAUGACCAGCCUGAGAGCGGAGGACACCGCUGUGUAUUACUGCACGAGACACAGCGAGGGGAAGUGAAUCUGAGCUCAGACAAAAACCUUCCCCUGCAGUA